GAUGAACGCUGGCGGCGUGCCUAAUACAUGCAAGUCGAACGAGCGCGACCGGUGCUUGCACUUGUCAAUCUAGUGGCGAACGGGUGAGUAACACGUGGGUAACCUGCCCAUCAGAGGGGGAUAACUUCCGGAAACGGAUGCUAAUACCGCAUAAGACUUCGAGCCGCAUGGCUUGAAAAUGAAAAGAGGCGUUAGCUUCUGCUGAAGGAUGGACCCGCGGUGCAUUAGCUAGUUGGUAAGGUAACGGCUCACCAAGGCCGUGAUGCAUAGCCGACCUGAGAGGGUGAUUGGCCACAUUGGAACUGAGACACGGCCCAGACUCCUACGGGAGGCAGCAGUAGGGAAUCUUCCGCAAUGGGCGAAAGUCUGACGGAGCAACGCCGCGUGAGUGAUGAAGGUUUUCGGAUCGUAAAACUCUGUUGUUAGAGAAGAACAAAUGCGAAAGUAACUGUGAACGUCUUGACGGUAUCUAACCAGAAAGCCACGGCUAACUACGUG
rnacentral:rRNA from 1 species